rnacentral:rRNA from 1 species
UAGCUAGUUGGUGAGGUAAAGGCUUACCAAGGCGACGAUCUGUAGCGGGUCUGAGAGGAUGAUCCGCCACACUGGAACUGAGACACGGUCCAGACUCCUACGGGAGGUAGCAGUGGGGAAUUUUGGACAAUGGGGGCAACCCUGAUCUAGCCAUGCCGCGUGAGUGAAGAAGGCCUUCGGGUUGUAAAGCUCUUUCGGCCGGGAAGAAAUCGCAUGGGUCAAUACCCUGUGUGGAUGACGGUACCGGAAUAAGAAGCACCGGCUAACUACGUGCCAGCAGCCGCGGUAAUACGUAGGGUGCGAGCGUUAAUCGGAAUUGCUGGGCGUAAAGCGUGCGCAGGCGGUUUUGUAAGACAGGCGUGAAAUCCCCGGGCUUAACCUGGGAACUGCGUUUGUGACUGCAAGGCUAGAGUACGGCAGAGGGGGGUGGAAUUCCACGUGUAGCAGUGAAAUGCGUAGAGAUGUGGAGGAACACCAAUGGCGAAGGCAGCCCCCUGGGUCGAUACUGACGCUCAUGCACGAAAGCGUGGGUAGCAAACAGGAUUAGAUACCCUGGUAGUCCACGCCCUAAACUAUGUCAACUAGGUGUUGGGUGGGUAAAACCAUUUAGUACCGUAGCUAACGCGUGAAGUUGACCGCCUGGGGAGUACGGCCGCAAGGUUAAAACUCAAAGGAAUUGACGGGGACCCGCACAAGCGGUGGAUGAUGUGGAUUAAUCCGAUGCAACGCGAAAAACCUUACCUACCCUUGACAUGCCAGGAACUUGCCAGAGAUGGCUUGGUGCCCGAAAGGGAGCCUGGACACAGGUGCUGCAUGGCUGUCGUCAGCUCGUGUCGUGAGAUGUUGGGUUAAGUCCCGCAACGAGCGCAACCCUUGUCGUUAAUUGCCAUCAUUUGGUUGGGCACUUUAACGAGACUGCCGGUGACAAACCGGAGGAAGGUGGGGAUGACGUCAAGUCCUCAUGGCCCUUAUGGGUAGGGCUUCACACGUCAUACAAUGGUCGGUACAAAGGGUUGCCGAGCCGCGAGGCGGAGCCAAUCCCAGAAAGCCGAUCGUAGUCCGGAUUGCAGGCUGCAACUCGCCUGCAUGAAGUCGGAAUCGCUAGUAAUCGUGGAUCAGCAUGUCACGGUGAAUACGUUCCCGGGUCUUGUACACACCGCCCGUCACACCAUGGGAGCGGGUUCCGCCAGAAGUAGGUAGCCUAACCGCAAGGGGGGCGCUUACCACGGCGGGGUUCGUGACUGGGGUGAAGUCGUAACAAGGUAGCCGUAGGGGAACCUGCGGCUG